GCUUGUCUCAAAGAUUAAGCCAUGCAUGUCUAAGUGUAAAUAAGUCUAUACUGUGAAACUGCGAAUGGCUCAUUAAAUCAGUUAUCGUUUAUUUGAUGAUCUCUUACUACUUGGAUAACCGUAGUAAUUCUAGAGCUAAUACAUGCACAAAAUCCCGACUUACGAAGGGAUGUAUUUAUUAGAUACAAACCAACAUCGUGGUGAUUCAUAAUAACUUUGCGAACCGUAUGCGCAAGCGACGGUGGUUCAUUCAAGUUUCUGCCCUAUCAGCUUUCGAUGGUAGGGUAUUGGCCUACCAUGGCGUUAACGGGUAACGGAGAAUUAGGGUUCGAUUCCGGAGAGGGAGCCUGAGAGAUGGCUACCACAUCCAAGGAAGGCAGCAGG
rnacentral:rRNA from 1 species